UUCAAAUGAAAAAUGUCAAGAAUCCGAUCAUAAUCGACCAGAACUACUGUGACAAGGACAAAUGCGAAGACCAAGACUCCGCCGUGCAAGUGAAAAACGUUGUGUACAAGAACAUAUCCGGUACGAGCGCGACGGAUGUGGCGAUAACGUUCAAUUGCAGUGAGAAGUAUCCAUGCCAAGGCAUUGUGCUUGAGAACGUAAACAUUAAAGGAGGAAACGCUUCUUGCAAAAAUGCCAACGUUAAAAAUCAAGGCACCGUUUCUCCUAAAUGCUCUUAAUUAAUUACUGAGCUAAUUAUGUAAUAUACGUAUGAAUAUAGAUACACGUAUUUAUAUAUAGAUGCAUGUAUAUUGUACUCUAUAUAUUGCUUCUUGAUAUAUUAUGUAGUAAAGAUGUAUGGGUGUACACAUAAAAUAGUCAGAAAGAUUUGUUGCCUUCUAUGUAUACUGUUGAUUAUUUGUAUGUGUCCAUGAAUAAAUUAAUAAGAUUAAUUUUCUAAUA